GCCUUCGGGAACUGUGAGACAGGUGCUGCAUGGCUGUCGUCAGCUCGUGUUGUGAAAUGUUGGGUUAAGUCCCGCAACGAGCGCAACCCUUAUCCUUUGUUGCCAGCGGUCCGGCCGGGAACUCAAAGGAGACUGCCAGUGAUAAACUGGAGGAAGGUGGGGAUGACGUCAAGUCAUCAUGGCCCUUACGACCAGGGCUACACACGUGCUACAAUGGCGCAUACAAAGAGAAGCGACCUCGCGAGAGCAAGCGGACCUCAUAAAGUGCGUCGUAGUCCGGAUUGGAGUCUGCAACUCGACUCCAUGAAGUCGGAAUCGCUAGUAAUCGUGGAUCAGAAUGCCACGGUGAAUACGUUCCCGGGCCUUGUACACACCGCCCGUCACACCAUGGGAGUGGGUUGCAAAAGAAGUAGGUAGCUUAACCUUCGGGAGGGCGCUUACCACUUUGUGAUUCAUGACUGGGGUGAAGUCGUAACAAGGUAACCGUAGGGGAACCUGCGGUUGGAUCAC
rnacentral:rRNA from 1 species